rnacentral:rRNA from 1 species
UGCGUAGGCGGUAUGAUAAGUUAGUGGUGAAAGCCUCCGGCUCAACCGGAGAACUGCCAUUAAUACUGUUAUUCUUGAGUAUAGUUGAAGUGGGCGGAAUGUAUCAUGUAGCGGUGAAAUGCUUAGAUAUGAUACAGAACACCGAUAGCGUAGGCAGCUUGCUAAACUAUAACUGACGCUCAGGCACGAAAGCGUGGGGAGCAAACAGGAUUAGAUACCCUGGUAGUCC